GUGUCAGCAGCCGCGGUAAUACAGAGGUCCCAAGCGUUGUUCGGAUUUACUGGGCGUAAAGGGUGCGUAGGCGGCCAAAAAAGUCUGAUGUGAAAUCUUGGAGCUUAACUCCGAAACUGCAUUGGAUACUGGUUGGCUUGAGGAGUGGAGGGGAGACUGGAAUUCUCGGUGUAGCAGUGAAAUGCGUAGAUAUCGAGAGGAACACCAGUGGCGAAGGCGAGUCUCUGGACACUUCCUGACGCUGAGGCACGAAAGCCAAGGGAGCAAACGGGAUUAGAAACCCCCGUAGUCC
rnacentral:rRNA from 1 species